UGGUGAAUCGGCUAUAAUAUUAUUCACCAGUGUAACUAGGUCAGCGAGGUGAUUAGUGGUGGUGGUUAUGGAGACAAGAUGUACUUGUAUCUAUUCUGUUGCCCCUAUGCCCACAACGUGGCUUCAAAAGGGAAAUACAUUGCUUUUGUUACCACAGAAGCAGAGACUGACAACCCUGAGGUGGAAUUGAAGCCUGGCAUAGACCUACUUGGACCUGUAGACGAGAUAUUCUUUGAAAGUUAUGACAGAUUUGUACUCCAAGUUGAGCUUUGGUUGAUUAAAGUUGUUACGGGUUCAGUUUCUAGUUUACAUCUCUUGCUUGCCCCUCUACAGAUUUGUACUCCAAGUUGAGCCUUGGUUGAUUAAACUAAGAAGUUUUUUUAGUUUGAGUGAAUUCAUUUAUGGAUUGCUUGUCUUGUUCUUGUGCUGUAAAUUUUCCCGCACAGUGAAUUUUUUUGUUGCUGUUCAGCAUGUUCUAAUGAUUUUUUUUAUCCCAAAUUUAUUCUUUUUUUGUGUUGUGAAACAAGUAGGAAACUGGAAAUACUGACAUCGAAGGCGUUGACUCAACCAAUGCUUGCUAUGGUGGAACUGUAGCUUUAUUCAACUGUGUCAAUUGGGUGGAGAGUAGUUCAUGGGAUGGACGCUAUGGACUUGUGGUCUGAACAGACAGUGCGGGCCUGAUGCUCCCAUAGCAUUUGAAAGCAAAUUCAGGGGAAGCCAUAUGUCGCAUGCCUAUGAUUUUUACAAGCCCAACCAUGCAAGUGAAUAUCCGCUUGUUCAAAAGAGCUUUGCCUGGUUGUGGUUCAAUGACUUCUUGAGGAAUGUCGUGAUUCGAUGACUUCUUGAGGAAUGUCGUGAUCUAGAGAUUGCUUUCACCAUGUCUCUCUUACAACUAAUUGGUGCUAGAGAGGGUUUUAGCUUUAGUUUUAAGAUUAUGUGAGGUCGACCUAUCAGUGUCUUUGAUGAUCUUGGGUCCAGAGCUCUUCCAACUUUCCUCAAUUCCACCAUGAAUGCUAUUGAGGGAAUCAUUGGAAUGGUUGGGCUUUCUUGAUC